GAGAGGCCUGGGAGGAAAUCUGCCCAGCCUUGAGCCUUAGGGAGAAAAAUCAAGGGACCUGCACCAUGGCCUGGAUCCCUCUCCUCCUCGGAUUCCUGGCUCACUGGGCAGGAUCCGUGGCCUCCUAUGUGCUGACUCAGCCUCCAUCGAUGUCAGUGAACCUGGGACAGACGGUCAGGAUGACCUGUGGGGGAAACAACAUUGGAAGAAAAAAUGUUCAGUGGUACCAGCAGAAGCCGGGUCUGGCCCCUGUGCUGAUUAUCUAUGGUGAUAGCUACCGGCCCUCAGGGAUCCCUGAACGGUUCUCAGGCACCAAAUCGGGGAACACGGCCACCCUGACCAUCAGCGGGGUCCGGGCCGAGGACGAGGCUGAGUAUUACUGUCAGGUAUGGGACAGCAAUGCUGAUGCUCACAGUGACACAGACAGAUGGGGAAGUGAGGCACAAACCCCUUCCCCAUCUGUGUGGCAUGCUCCUCCAGUCUCAGGAGACCUGCGCACAGAGCAGGGAGCACUUCUGGUCCAGAUCCCCUCAUCUGAGAUCCCCAUACCUCCCUCCCCAUCCAGCUCUCCAGGCAGCUCUGCAGAGGGGCGUCAGGAGAGCAUUUACAGCUGA